rnacentral:rRNA from 1 species
CGUGGGCAAUCUGCCCUUCACUCUGGGACAAGCCCUGGAAACGGGGUCUAAUACCGGAUACUGACCCUCGCAGGCAUCUGCGAGGUUCCAAAGCUCCGGCGGUGAAGGAUGAGCCCGCGGCCUAUCAGCUUGUUGGUGAGGUAAUGGCUCACCAAGGCGACCACGGGUAGCCGGCCUGAAAGGGCGACCGGCCACACUGGGACUGAAACACGGCCCAGACUCCUACGGGAGGCAGCAGUGGGGAAUAUUGCACAAUGGGCGAAAGCCUGAUGCAGCGACGCCGCGUGAGGGAUGACGGCCUUCGGGUUGUAAACCUCUUUCAGCAGGGAAGAAGCGAAAGUGACGGUACCUGCAGAAGAAGCGCCGGCUAACUACGUGCCAGCAGCCGCGGUAAUACGUAGGGCGCAAGCGUUGUCCGGAAUUAUUGGGCGUAAAGAGCUCGUAGGCGGCUUGUCACGUCGGUUGUGAAAGCCCGGGGCUUAACCCCGGGUCUGCAGUCGAUACGGGCA